rnacentral:lncRNA from 1 species
UGAAAACAAAGGUAAAAGUCAUUAUGGUCACUAGAAAGUGAUGGAAAGUUGCAGAGCCUAUCAACCUUCUUUUGUGAGCCAACAAAAGCGGUUGAUGCUCAACAGUCUUACUGCUUACUGUGUCAACUGUCUACUGUGGAAUGUGAGCAAAUGCCAAAGGAGGGCCUGCCCAGCUCUACUCUUGAAUGACAUGUCCUGUUACUCCAGUGGGCAAUCAACCCUGAUCUGCCCUCAGAAAUGCCCUGCAUCUUGCAAGGUCCUUCCCCCAGAAAGCCAAGAACUGUUCUCAACAAAGCCGGUGAAAAGUUUCCUCAAAAAUCCAGGGUAAAAUACAGUAUAUGUCUCUUCAUGCUGUGAAAGGGCUUUCUAUUUUAUUGCCUGAAAGCAGUAUUUUGAUAUUCAAUAUUUAUUCAGUAAAUUUUCAAGUAUUUUAUUUGCCCUUCCAUUAACAAUGAUGUAUUGCUCUGCUUUAGUUGAUAUAUUAUCAAGGUAAAAGUCUGUUUGUCCUUCUUAAAUAACCAAAGGAAAGAAUGAACCUCCUGUAUUACCGAUAAAUAUAGUUCAAUGGGACAAAAAUAGGAUGAAGAAAAUCAGUUUGGAAGCAUUUUAAGACAUCCUUUCUUUUCUGUUGUUAGUGUUUGAUUCCCAUUUUUUUAAUUGACUUAAAUAAUUGAUGAGUAUCCAGUUUGACACUUUGAAUUAUGUUUUUGAAGUUCUUUCCUCAAGCUCUUAUAUGCUUUCAUUUUCUGAGAAAAGCAUUUGUCUGUACCAGUGAGUACUCUGUUCCCAAUGAACUAUGAGAGCUAUGCUUCCCUUGAGAAACUGCCCCUCACCAAGCAGCAAGCUCUGAUGCGCUGCAUGAUGUGACUGAAGACAUGAGAAAGGAAAGGACUUCUACAACGGCAACAGCAAGAGAAAGAAGAGGAAGAUAACCACCUAGCAGUUAGUACUUGUUAUCUUGAGGAAAGCUGCUUAAGGAGGAAGCUGAGACUCUACAGGAAGCCUUUCAGGAGAAGGAAAUCAAUGAGAGUGAUGGACAGCUUUUCUCCAAUCUAUAUUUAGGGAAAGUGAAAAUGUACAGAUGAAUGUAGCAAAAAAAAAAAAAAAAAUUAGAAAAAAAAAAAAGACAAAAAACACUAGGAGUAAAUUUAGUGCUUCUAAUUAAAUUGAAUGAUCACUUCAUAGUCCUGAUUUUGCUCCCCUCUAUCUUGGGUCAGUAGUUCCUUAUUCUGAUCAUCCCAUGAGGUUCAGUAGGAAUUCUCUCAGUGUGACCGAAGGUCUUCUUUGCGAACCCAGGAAGUACAAGCAGCUUUAUCUAGAAGGUGGCAAGUGAAAAGACAUAUGACAUUUUGUAUUUUUGCAUGCAAAUAAUCAGAAUCAGUUUGCCAACCAGGAGACAGAUACUAACAGAAAUGUUUAGAUGUUAUGUAACAAAUUCAAAAACGGCACUAGCUUUUCUCUUUUUACAUCUGACAUAUACCUGUGCCCAUUAUUCAGAAGUUAUUUAAAUAACAUAAAAUCUCUGCACUCUUCUGGGGAAGCCUUUCCUACAGCUUUCAUUUUCUGCACCUAUUGUCUAAGUAGCUUCCUCCCACUGUUAUGUAUCUGAAAGUCUGUGCUUCUGCAAGCCAGGUAACUGCUUUGACAAAAAAGCAUAUUAGAUGCCUGCAGAUCCCACUAGAGCAGGCUCUGCACCUCCAACCAUACCACACUUAAAGGGGUAUGAAUUAUGUUUCUAAUAUUAUCACUUUCUUGACUUCCACUUGGGAACCAUCUGUCAGAGCAACACCACCCAAAUUACAGCAGGGUCUCCAUGAUGCUGGCUGGUCUGAGCACAUGUGUAAAGCUUCUGCCCAAAGAGAUGGGAAGAAGAAAUGGUUCAAGUUAAAUAAAUUUACUGCUGGUAUUCA